rnacentral:rRNA from 1 species
UGAGGAAUAUUGGACAAUGGGCGAAAGCCUGAUCCAGCCAUGCCGCGUGAAUGAUGAAGGCCUUAGGGUUGUAAAGUUCUUUUAGUAGUGAAGAUGAUGACGGUAACUACAGAAAAAGCUCCGGCUAACUUCGUGCCAGCAGCCGCGGUAAUACGAAGGGAGCGAGCGUUGUUCGGAUUUACUGGGCGUAAAGCGUGCGUAGGUGGUUUUUCAAGUCAGAAGUGAAAGCCCUGGGCUUAACCCAGGAAUU